rnacentral:rRNA from 1 species
AUAGCAGUGAGGAAUAUUGGUCAAUAGCCUAACGGCUGAACCAGCAACUUGGACGAACGAAAGGCGCAAGCCAUACGUAAUAAUAUUAUAUUAUGCGAUAGUAACAACGUUACAUAAAGUUCUAGAUAAAUAUUUGAUAAUGACAUUAUUUAUCUAUAAGUCUUGACUAAGUCACGUGCCAGCAGUCGCGGUAACACGUGGAAGACGAGUGUUAUUCAUCUUUAUUUGGUUUAAAGGGUACCUAGACAGCUAAUUAAGCCUACAAAAGUGACUAAUUAAGCUAGAGUUUUAUAAGAUAAGAUAGUAGAGCGGUGAGAGGAGAGAUGAAAUUUUUUGAUACCACUGGAGACUGACAACGGCGAAAGCAAUCUUUUAUGUAAUAACUGACGUUGAGGGACGAAGGCUCAAUAUAAGCAAAAGGAUUAGAUACCCUAGUACUACGAGCAGACAAUUAUGAGUGUCAUAGAUAAAUAAAUUAAUAUGAAAUACCUAUUAUAUAUUAUUUAUGUAUAAAUGAAAAUGUAAGCACUCCACCUUAAGAGUAACAUGGCAACAUGGGAACUGAAAUCAUUAGACCGUUUCUGAAACCAGUAGUGAAGUAUGUUGUUUAAUUUGAUAAUCCACAAAAAACCUUACCACAAUUUGAAUAAAUUUUUUAUUUAAAAAUUUACAGGAGUUGCACGGCUGUCUUCAGUUGAUAUCGUGAGAUUUUGGUUAGUUCCAUUUAAUCAACGCAAACCCUUAUUUUAUUUUCUAUAUAAAAUAGCUCUACCAUUAUACUGGUAAUGAUAAAAGGGACUAAGACAAGUCAUCAUGACCUAAAUAUUGUGGGC